UACGUAGGGCGCAAGCGUUGUCCGGAAUUAUUGGGCGUAAAGAGCUCGUAGGUGGCGUGUCGCGUCUGCCGUGAAAGCCCAUGGCUUAACUGUGGGUCUGCGGUGGAUACGGGCAGGCUGGAGGCUGGUAGGGGCAAGCGGAAUUCCUGGUGUAGCGGUGAAAUGCGCAGAUAUCGAGAGGAACACCUGCGGCGAAGGCGGGUUGCUGGGCUGAUACUGACGCUGAGGCGCGAAAGCUAGGGGAGCGAACGGG
rnacentral:rRNA from 1 species